rnacentral:rRNA from 1 species
UACGGAGGGUGCGAGCGUUUAUCGGAAUUACUGGGCGUAAAGCGUGCGUAGGCGGAUGCUUGAGUCGGAUGUGAAAGCCCUGGGCUCAACCUGGGAAUGGCAUUCGAUACUGGGCAUCUAGAGUGUGGUAGAGGGGGGUAGAAUUCCUGGUGUAGCGGUGAAAUGCGUCGAUAUCAGGAGUUAUUUCUAUUGCUAAGGCGACCCCCUAGAUCUACACUGACGCUGAGGUACGAAAGCGUGGGUAGCAAACAGG